rnacentral:rRNA from 1 species
UGAAAUUAAAAUAUAGAGAGUCGAGCCUGCCCAGUGAUUUUUUUCAACGGCCGCGGUACUCUGACCGUGCAAAGGUAGCAUAAUCAUUUGCCUUAUAAUUAAAGGCUAGUAUGAACGGUUUGAUGAAAGCAAAGCUGUCUCCUUUUGAUUUUAUAGAACUUGAUUUUUAGGUGAAGAAGCCUAAAUAAAAUUGAUAGACGAGAAGACCCUAUCGAGCUUAAAAAAAUUUUGUCAAAAUAAAAUUACUAUUAAAGAUAAAAUAUGAUAAAAAAAUUUUAGUUGGGGCGACUAAGGAACAAAUAAAGCUUCCACAGCAAUAUUAUAACAUAUAAGUUAUGAUCCAAAAUAUUUGAUUAAAAAAAUUAGUUACCGUAGGGAUAACAGCAUAAUCUUUUUUAAGAGUUCUUAUCGAAAAAAAGGUUUGUGACCUCGAUGUUGGACUAGAAUAUCCUAAACGAUGCAGAAGUCUUUAAGGGUUGGUCUGUUCGACCACUAAUAUUUUAUAUGAUCUGAGUUCAGACCGGU